UUAUAUUCUCCGCCGGGGGGGAUGAGAACCCCCGACCGGGGUUCGACAACUGGCAACGCCAGUUGGACAGACCGCGAGCCUGCGAGCGGGCUGCCCCGCAGGGGCGAGCGAAGCGAGUCAAUCCCCCCUCACCGCCA
rnacentral:sRNA from 1 species